AACACAUGCAAGUCGAGGGGAAACGACAUCGAAAGCUUGCUUUUGAUGGGCGUCGACCGGCGCACGGGUGAGUAACGCGUAUCCAACCUGCCCACCACUUGGGGAUAACCUUGCGAAAGUAAGACUAAUACCCAAUGACGUCUCUAGAAGACAUCUGAAAGAGAUUAAAGAUUUAUCGGUGAUGGAUGGGGAUGCGUCUGAUUAGCUUGUUGGCGGGGUAACGGCCCACCAAGGCAACGAUCAGUAGGGGUUCUGAGAGGAAGGUCCCCCACAUUGGAACUGAGACACGGUCCAAACUCCUACGGGAGGCAGCAGUGAGGAAUAUUGGUCAAUGGACGAGAGUCUGAACCAGCCAAGUAGCGUGCAGGAUGACGGCCCUAUGGGUUGUAAACUGCUUUUAUAAGGGAAUAAAGUGAGUCUCGUGAGACUUUUUGCAUGUACCUUAUGAAUAAGGACCGGCUAAUUCCGUGCCAGCAGCCGCGGUAAUACGGAAGGUCCGGGCGUUAUCCGGAUUUAUUGGGUUUAAAGGGAGCGUAGGCCGUUUGGUAAGCGUGUUGUGAAAUGUCGGGGCUCAACCUGGGCAUUGCAGCGCGAACUGCCAGACUUGAGUGCGCAGGAAGUAGGCGGAAUUCGUCGUGUAGCGGUGAAAUGCUUAGAUAUGACGAAGAACUCCGAUUGCGAAGGCAGCCUGCUGUAGCGUAACUGACGCUGAAGCUCGAAAGCGUGGGUAUCGAACAGGAUUAGAUACCCUGGUAGUCCACGCGGUAAACGAUGGAUGCUCGCUGUUUGCGUCUGACGUAAGCGGCCAAGC
rnacentral:rRNA from 1 species